rnacentral:rRNA from 1 species
AAUACAGAGGUCCCGAGCGUUGUUCGGAUUUACUGGGCGUAAAGGGUGCGUAGGUGGCCGGGAAAGUCUGGUGUGAAAUCUCUGAGCUUAACUCAGAAACGGCACUGGAAACUCUCUGGCUUGAGGAUCGGAAGGGAGACUGGAAUUCUCGGUGUAGCAGUGAAAUGCGUAGAUAUCGAGAGGAACACCAGUGGCGAAGGCGAGUCUCUGGACGAGGCCUGACACUGAGGCACGAAAGCUAGGGGAGCAAACAGG